rnacentral:rRNA from 1 species
UACGUAGGUCCCGAGCGUUGUCCGGAUUUAUUGGGCGUAAAGCGAGCGCAGGCGGUUUGAUAAGUCUGAAGUUAAAGGCUGUGGCUCAACCAUAGUUCGCUUCGGAAACUGUCAAACUUGAGUGCAGAAGGGGAGAGUGGAAUUCCAUGUGUAGCGGUGAAAUGCGUAGAUAUAUGGAGGAACACCGGUGGCGAAAGCGGCUCUCUGGUCUGUAACUGACGCUGAGGCUCGAAAGCGUGGGGAGCGAACAGG